rnacentral:rRNA from 1 species
AACGAACGCUGGCGGCAGGCCUAACACAUGCAGGUCGAGCGAACCCUUCGGGGUUAGCGGCGGACGGGUUAGUAACGCGUGGGAAUAUACCCUUUGGUACGGAAUAGCCUCGGGAAACUGAGAGUAAUACCGUAUGUGCCCUUCGGGGGAAAGAUUUAUCGCCAAAGGAUUAGCCCGCGUUGGAUUAGAUAGUUGGUGGGGUAAUGGCCUACCAAGUCUACGAUCCAUAGCUGGUUUGAGAGGAUGAUCAGCAACACUGGGACUGAGACACGGCCCAGACUCCUACGGGAGGCAGCAGUGGGGAAUCUUAGACAAUGGGCGCAAGCCUGAUCUAGCCAUGCCGCGUGGACGAUGAAGGCCUUAGGGUUGUAAAGUCCUUUCAGAUGGGAAGAUAAUGACGGUACCAUCAGAAGAAGCCCCGGCUAACUCCGUG